ACUCAAUAGAUACCCAGGUAGUCCACGCCCUAAACGAUGUCUACUAGUUGUUGGUGGAGUAAAAUCCAUGAGUAAACGCAGCUAACGCGUGAAGUAGACCGCCUGGGGAGUACGGUCGCAAGAUUAAAACUCAAAGGAAUUGACGGGGGCCCGGCACAAGCGGUGGAUUAUGUGGAUUAAUUACGAUGCAACGCGAAAACCUUAACCUGGCCUUGACAUGCCACUAACGAAGCAGAGAUGCAUUAGGUGCCCGUAACGGGAAAGUGGACACAGGUGCUGCAUGGCUGUCGUCAGCUCGUGUCGUGAGAUGUUGGGUUAAGUUCCCGCAACGAGCGCAACCCUUGCCAUUAAUUGCCAUCAUUUAAGUUGGGCACUUUAAUGGGACUGCCGGUGACAAACCGGAGGAAGGUGGGGAGUGACGUCAAGUCCUCAUGGCCCUUAUGGCCAGGGCUUCACACGUAAUACAAUGGUCGGUACAGAGAGUUGCCAACCCGCGAGGGGGUAGCUAAUCUCAGAAAGCCGAUCGUAGUCCGGAUUGUUCUCU
rnacentral:rRNA from 1 species